GCUCCGGUGGUGUAGCCCGGCCAAGCAUUCGGGCCUUUCGAAAGCCCGUGACCCGGGUUCAAAUCCCGGCCGGAGCA
rnacentral:tRNA from 1 species